rnacentral:rRNA from 1 species
UGCAGUCGAGCGAGAAGGUCUUCGGACUGAGUACAGCGGCGGACGGGUGAGUAACGCGUAGGAAUCUACCCAGUAGUGGGGGACAACUUGGGGAAACCCAAGCUAAUACCGCAUACGCCCCAAGGGGGAAAGCGGGGGAUCUUCGGACCUCGCGCUAUUGGAUGAGCCUGCGUUGGAUUAGCUAGUUGGUGGGGUAAAAGCCUACCAAGGCGACGAUCCAUAGCUGGUCUGAGAGGACGAUCAGCCACACUGGGACUGAGACACGGCCCAGACUCCUACGGGAGGCAGCAGUGGGGAAUAUUGCGCAAUGGGGGAAACCCUGACGCAGCCAUGCCGCGUGUGUGAAGAAGGCUUUCGGGUUGUAAAGCACUUUCAGCAGUGAGAAAAAGCCACGGGCUAAUACGUCGUGGUCUUGAUGUUAACUGCACAAGAAGCACCGGCUAACUCCGUGCCAGCAGCCGCGGUAAUACG